rnacentral:rRNA from 1 species
GAUAAACGCUGGCGGCGUGCCUAAUACAUGCAAGUCGAGCGAACCACUUCGGUGGUGAGCGGCGAACGGGUGAGUAACACGUAGGUGAUCUGCCCAUCAGACGGGGACAACGAUUGGAAACGAUCGCUAAUACCGGAUAGGACGAAAGUUUAAAGGUGCUUCUGGCACCGCCGAUGGAUGAGCCUGCGGCGCAUUAGCUAGUUGGUAGGGUAAAGGCCUACCAAGGCGACGAUGCGUAGCCGACCUGAGAGGGUGAACGGCCACACUGGGACUGAGACACGGCCCAGACUCCUACGGGAGGCAGCAGUAGGGAAUCUUCGGCAAUGGGCGAAAGCCUGACCGAGCAACGCCGCGUGAAUGAUGAAGGCCUUCGGGUUGUAAAAUUCUGUUAUAAGGGAAGAACGACUUUAGUAGGAAAUGGCUAGAGUGUGACGGUACCUUAUGAGAAAGCCACGGCUAACUACGUGCCAGCAGCCGCCGUAA